UAUAUGGAGAGUUUGAUCCUGGCUCAGGACGAACGCUGGCGGCGUGCCUAAUACAUGCAAGUCGAGCGGACAGAUGGGAGCUUGCUCCCUGAAGUCAGCGGCGGACGGGUGAGUAACACGUGGGCAACCUGCCUGUAAGACUGGGAUAACUCCGGGAAACCGGGGCUAAUACCGGAUAAUUCUUUCCCUCACAUGAAGGGAAGCUGAAAGAUGGUUUCGGCUAUCACUUACAGAUGGGCCCGCGGCGCAUUAGCUAGUUGGUGAGGUAACGGCUCACCAAGGCAACGAUGC
rnacentral:ncRNA from 1 species